rnacentral:tRNA from 1 species
UUCCCUAGCAGUCUAGUGGUUAAGACGUCUCCUUCUAAUGUAGGGGGUGCAGGUCCAAUCCCUGUUAGGGAGC